rnacentral:rRNA from 1 species
GCCUAAUACAUGCAAGUCGAGCGGACAGAUGGGAGCUUGCUCCCUGAUGUUAGCGGCGGACGGGUGAGUAACACGUGGGUAACCUGCCUGUAAGACUGGGAUAACUCCGGGAAACCGGGGCUAAUACCGGAUGGUUGUUUGAACCGCAUGGUUCAGACAUAAAAGGUGGCUUCGGCUACCACUUACAGAUGGACCCGCGGCGCAUUAGCUAGUUGGUGAGGUAACGGCUCACCAAGGCGACGAUGCGUAGCCGACCUGAGAGGGUGAUCGGCCACACUGGGACUGAGACACGGCCCAGACUCCUACGGGAGGCAGCAGUAGGGAAUCUUCCGCAAUGGACGAAAGUCUGACGGAGCAACGCCGCGUGAGUGAUGAAGGUUUUCGGAUCGUAAAGCUCUGUUGUUAGGGAAGAACAAGUGCCGUUCAAAUAGGGCGGCACCUUGACGGUACCUAACCAGAAAGCCACGGCUAACUACGUGCCAGCAGCCGCGGUAAUACGU